ACAGCGCGUUGUUUUGGUUAGUGGCAGGGGAAAGAAUGGUGCUAAAUUAGAGAAGUGAUGUAAUAAUGUUUAGUAUAAGUGGGAAAUGGAGAGGCAAAUAAUUUGGUUUCAAGUAACCCUUAUUGCACACCAGUUCUUCAGAAAUGUGUUAAAACAGGCAGUCUCCACUUCCCCGGCACAAACUCGGAAAAGACCAGUAAGAAUUGAUAAGCAAAUAAAGCCUGAUGAAAUGAAAAGAGCAUUGGUCUGCGAUGCCAAAGACUGGGUACUUCUUCUAGAAAAGCUCCUGACCGUAUAGGUGGCUGAGUUGUUAACCCAGGAGAGAAAACUUAGGUUAAGUGACUUGCCAAGGUUGGACAGCAAAUUAUUGCCAAAGCUGGGACGAGACCCUAUCAGCUUACUUGUAAGUCCAUAUUUUUUUACCUAAUGAUUCAAAGGACGUAAAUAGACCAAUAGGAAAACCAAAUCGACAUAAUAAUGAAUG